GCAGUCGAGCGGAUGAAGGGAGCUUGCUCCUGGAUUCAGCGGCGGACGGGUGAGUAAUGCCUAGGAAUCUGCCUGGUAGUGGGGGAUAACGUCCGGAAACGGGCGCUAAUACCGCAUACGUCCUGAGGGAGAAAGUGGGGGAUCUUCGGACCUCACGCUAUCAGAUGAGCCUAGGUCGGAUUAGCUAGUUGGUGGGGUAAAGGCCUACCAAGGCGACCAUCCGUAACUGGUCUGAGAGGAUGAUCAGUCACACUGGAACUGAGACACGGUCCAGACUCCUACGGGAGGCAGCAGUGGGGAAUAUUGGACAAUGGGCGAAAGCCUGAUCCAGCCAUGCCGCGUGUGUGAAGAAGGUCUUCGGAUUGUAAAGCACUUUAAGUUGGGAGGAAGGGCAGUAAGUUAAUACCUUGCUGUUUUGACGUUACCAACAGAAUAAGCACCGGCUAACUUCGUGCCAGCAGCCGCGGUAAUACGAAGGGUGCAAGCGUUAAUCGGAUUUACUGGGCGUAAAGCGCGCGUAGGUGGUUCAGCAAGUUGGAUGUGAAAUCCCCGGGCUCAACCUGGGAACUGCAUCCAAAACUACUGAGCUAGAGUACGGUAGAGGGUGGUGGAAUUUCCUGUGUAGC
rnacentral:rRNA from 1 species